GAGCGAAGCGACGUCAAAGCGUUCAUUAAAGUCGAGUUGGCUUAGGGAUACGUUCGUUGGGUAGGGGAGCGUUCUGUAAGCCUGUGAAGGUGGCCUGUGAGGGUUGCUGGAGGUAUCAGAAGUGCGAAUGCUGACAUAAGUAACGAUAAAGCGGGUGAAAAGCCCGCUCGCCGGAAGACCAAGGGUUCCUGUCCAACGUUAAUCGGGGCAGGGUGAGUCGACCCCUAAGGCGAGGCCGAAAGGCGUAGUCGAUGGGAAACGGGUUAAUAUUCCCGUACUUGGUGUUACUGCGAAGGGGGGACGGAGAAGGCUAUGUUGGCCGGGCGACGGUUGUCCCGGUUUAAGCGUGUAGGUGUGUGUUCCAGGUAAAUCCGGUUCACUUUAACACUGAGGCGUGAUGACGAGGCACUACGGUGCUGAAGCAACAAAUGCCCUGCUUCCAGGAAAAGCCUCUAAGCAUCAGGUAACAUCAAAUCGUACCCCAAACCGACACAGGUGGUCAGGUAGAGAAUACCAAGGCGCUUGAGAGAACUCGGGUGAAGGAACUAGGCAAAAUGGUGCCGUAACUUCGGGAGAAGGCACGCUGACACGUAGGUGAAGUGAUUUACUCAUGGAGCUGAAGUCAGUCGAAGAUACC
rnacentral:rRNA from 1 species